rnacentral:rRNA from 1 species
UGGGGGAUAUUGCACAAUGGAGGAAACUCUGAUGCAGCAACGCCGCGUGAAGGAAGAAGGUUUUCGGAUUGUAAACUUCUAUCAGCAGGGAAGAAAAUGACUGUACCUGACUAAGAAGCCCCGGCUAACUACGUGCCAGCAGCCGCGGUAAUACGUAGGGGGCAAGCGUUAUCCGGAAUUACUGGGUGUAAAGGGUACGUAGGCGGUCCGAUAAGUCAGAUGUGAAAGCCCGAGGCUCAACCUCGGGACUGCAUUUGAAACUGUCAGACUAGAGUACAGGAGAGGUAAGUGGAAUUCCUAGUGUAGCGGUGAAAUGCGUAGAUAUUAGGAAGAACACCAGUGGCGAAGGCGGCUUACUGGACUGUAACUGACGCUGAGGUACGAAAGCGUGGGGAGCGAACAGG